CACGUAGUUAGCCGUGGCUUUCUGAUUAGGUACCGUCAAGACGUGCACAGUUACUUACACAUUUGUUCUUCCCUAAUAACAGAGUUUUACGAUCCGAAGACCUCCAUCACUCACGCGGCGUUGCUCCGUCAGGCUUUCGCCCAUUGCGGAAGAUUCCCUACUGCUGCCUCCCGUAGGAGUCUGGACCGUGUCUCAGUUCCAGUGUGGCCGAUCACCCUCUCAGGUCGGCUACGUAUCGUUGCCUUGGUAAGCCAUUACCCCACCAACUAGCUAAUACGGCGCGGGUCCAUCUAUAAGUGAUAGUAAAACCAUCUUUCACUUUAGAACCAUGCGGUUCUAAAUAUUAUCCGGCAUUAGCCCCGGUUUCCCGGAGUUAUUCCAGUCUUAUAGGUAGGUUACCCACGUGUUACUCACCCGUCCGCCGCUAACGUCAAAGGAGCAAGCUCCUUAUCUGUUCGCUCGACUUGCAUGUAUUAGGCACGCCGCCAGCGUUCAUCCUGAGCCAGGAUCAAACUCU
rnacentral:rRNA from 1 species